UACGGAGGGUGCAAGCGUUAAUCGGAAUUACUGGGCGUAAAGCGCACGCAGGUGGCUGAGUCAGUCGAUUGUGAAAGCCCUGGGCUUAACCUGGGAAUUGCAGUCGAUACUACUCGGCUCGAGUAUGGGAGAGGGCAGUGGAAUUCCCGGUGUAGCGGUGAAAUGCGCAGAUAUCAGGAGGAACACCGGUGGCGAAGGCGGGUCUCUGGGCCGAUACUGACGCUGAGGAGCGAAAGCGUGGGGAGCGAACAGG
rnacentral:rRNA from 1 species